UGGGGAAUAUUGGACAAUGGGCGCAAGCCUGAUCCAGCCAUGCCGCGUGAGUGAUGAAGGCCCUAGGGUUGUAAAGCUCUUUCAACGGUGAAGAUAAUGACGGUAACCGUAGAAGAAGCCCCGGCUAACUUCGUGCCAGCAGCCGCGGUAAUACGAAGGGGGCUAGCGUUGUUCGGAAUUACUGGGCGUAAAGCGCACGUAGGCGGAUUGUUAAGUGAGGGGUGAAAUCCCAGGGCUCAAACCUGGAACUGCCUUUCAUACUGGCGAUCUUGAUUUCGAGAGUGGGAAGUGGAAUUCCGAGUGUAGAGGUGAAAUUCGUAGAUAAUCGGGGGAACACCAGUUGUGAAGGCGGCUCACUGGCUCGAUACUGACGCUGAGGUGCGAAAGAGUGGGGAGCAAACAGG
rnacentral:rRNA from 1 species